GGACGCACCUCUGGAGAGACCGUCAAGGCGCCGAAGGGGCAAGUUCGCCACAGAUAAUGUGGGAAUAUAAUCUCUCAGGCAAAAGGACAGAGUUAAAAGU
rnacentral:ncRNA from 2 species